ACCCCUCAAUUCCGAAUGUUCGUAUAAAUUUUUGGUGAUAAUGUAAGCAUCUAUUUUAAUUGACAAAAGAAAUAGAGUAUGAAUCAGAGGUAACUUAUUUUUAAGAUUUGGGAGAUCUGUUCAAAAAAAAAAAAAGAAAAAAAGAAAGAAUCUGAGGACCUAUAUGUAAACCCUAAGGACCUAAUCGUGAAUAUGAUAAAAACAAGGACUAAACUGCAAAAUGCACCAAAUGACAAAUUCCACCGCUUAAGCCUCUCUGCCUUCGUUGUUAAGGAAGCAGAGGAGGCAGCUCGUGGGUGAUCAGGGAAAGAAAAGAAGAAGAAGAAGAAGAAGAAGAAGGAGAAGAGAAAGAAAAUUUGGGGCUUUUAGGGUUUUUGCUUUAAUCUUGUUACUUCGGGUCAAAAUUUGCAAAGGAUAGCGUAACUCUUGCUUAAAUGUUAAGAAUGGGCUGAGGCAGCGGAAAGUUUAGAAGACGUUGGGCAGAACUUUUGUUAGCAUAUAUGUAGUUGUGUAUAAGCUACCUUGCAUCUAAUGAAAUGUGACUAUGAAUCUAAACCUGUGGAUUUUGUGUAAGUUAAAGGAUCCCUCAUGUAUAGGGUUUUGGAAUGUUAAAUUAAAUUGUGUAAUGAUAUGAACUUAUGGUAAAUCGAUGAUUGUGGUGACUGCA